UGGAGGCACCCCACUGGCUGACGGGGGCUGCGGCUGAGGCUGACUGAACGGAGGACCAUAUGCCACAGUGGGGACCACAGAACCACUAGUUCUACUUGUCCGAGAACUGAGGGCCCUGCUGUGGCUUCUUCAGAGAAAGGGGCUCCUCAUCUAGGCCCUGCCGAUCAGAUGGCUUGCAAGAUUCACAGAUGGUGCAGAAAUCAUUGAAGUGGGUAAGACCAGAUACAGGUGAGUCUGCAGGAUGAGAAGAGAAGAGAGCUGAGGAGACAAACAUGGGGAAUUCCAACAUUUAUGGCUCAAGCAGAGGAGGACUCCCCAGGAGAGGCUGGAGAGGAACAGCUAGGGGGAUGAGAACUCAGAGGAAGGAGGCGUGCACUCUGAAGGUGGUGCAUUCAAGGAGGGCGAGGCCAUGGGGCACAUGCCUUGAGAGGUUAGAGGAGAGUGACAGUCAGUGAGGGGGAGGCAAUGCCAUCCUUGCUGGUAGAGCAAAGCCUAAGUCAGCCAGGGGAGAGUCGAUGGAAGCAGCCGCCACCAAGGCAGGUCAAGUCCGCGGCUGCAGCACAAGGAGGCUAGUGGUCAAGAAGAUGAGAUGCAGCGGGGGAAACAGAUGUUUAAGUAUUUAAAGGCCAAUGAUUCUGGCUAGUAAAGGAUAUGGAGCCUCUGGCCACAUUCAGUUCUGUUGCUAUUAUUAACCUCAAGCUUUGAUAAUAUUCCUCUAGGCAGGAAGCAAGUGUUCGGGACAUGUCACUGAUGCCCUCAGUGGACAUUUAUGGAGCACUUACUAUGGGCCACGUGCUGGAGUUACAAAUGAAUGAGUAUGGUGCCUGCUCUCUUGUACUGUAUGUCCUUGGAAAUGCUUGCAUUAAAAAAAAAGACAGAAUAAAACUCUGUAUUACUUUCAAGGCAUCAGAAAUACUAAAGAAUGUAGAUUUCAAUAAACUCUUACUUUUGUUAUUUGGGGGGCACAGUUGCAUUUUUGGAGUUUUUUUCUUUGUAAUUCACAUUCUCAAGGUCUCAGAGCUCAAAUGGCACUGAAGGCAAAUAGUGAAAACCUGAACCUAGGCUCCUGUGCGAGUGAGGCCACAGCCAGACACUCGGGGUCAAGGGUGGAAGGAGAAACAAGACCUAAGGUGGGGACACAAAGACCCUUGCUGGUGGCACAGCGGGACAAGCUCAAGAUGGAACAUAAGUGGUCCUAUCCCAAGUAUGGAUUAAGAAUGGGAAAACUGCUUUUGAUUUAUUUUGCCAUGUAACUCUUGGGAAAAAAAAUGAUUAUACAUAGAAACACUAAAGGGAAAUACACCAAAAAUGUGAACAGUGAUUAUCUCUUGGUGGAGGGCUUAUGGGUGAUUUUAUUUCCUUCUUCAUGACUUCAUAUUUUAAAAUUUUGUGAUAAAUAGUGUUCAUUUUAUAAUCUGAAAAAAGAGGCCAUUUUUAAAACACAAAAGGAAACAUCAAAAAGCAGGGUGAUGAGAAUCUUGCUUCAUUGAGAAAAUGAUGGAAAUUGGAGUAUCGGUAGGAAAAAUGCUCAAUGACACUGGAGAAUGAAGGACCAUGCUCACCAAACUAGGGGAGGCCCCAGGCAUCUUCUUUACUCUAUUUGUCAUGAAAUUGAGGGAUAGCCGAUCUGAAAGGGACGGUGCCAUUGUGUGCCAACCCCUGCACACAUUUUCUCUAGAUGAGGAAAAUGACUUGUCCAGGCUCCCACACUUGUUAUCUUAUUUUUUUUUGUCCUAUUAUGUGAUGUGUAAUUUUGUCUUAAAGUUCUUAGAUGGAAAGUGAAGUUUGAGG